AUUGAACGCUGGCGGAAUGCUUUACACAUGCAAGUCGAGCGGCAGCGCGGCCUUCGGGCUGGCGGCGAGCGGCGAACGGGUGAGUAAUGCAUCGGAACAUGCCCAGUCGUGGGGGAUAACACUUCGAAAGAAGUGCUAAUACCGCAUACGUCCUGAGGGGGAAAGCGGGGGAUCGCAAGACCUCGCGCGAUUGGAGUGGCCGAUGUCGGAUUAGCUAGUUGGUGGGGUAAAGGCCUACAAGGCGACGAUCUGUAGCUGGUCUGAGAGGAUGAUCAGCCACACUGGGACUGAGACACGGCCCAGACUCCUACGGGAGGCAGCAGUGGGGAAUUUUGGACAAUGGGGGCAACCCUGAUCCAGCCAUUCCGCGUGAGUGAAGAAGGCCUUCGGGUUGUAAAGCUCUUUCGGCAGGAACGAAACGGUGGGCUCUAACAUAGUCCGCUAAUGACGGUACCUGAAGAAGAAGCACCGGCUAACUACGUG
rnacentral:rRNA from 1 species